rnacentral:rRNA from 1 species
GAUGAACGCUGGCGGCGUGCUUAAUACAUGCAAGUCGAGCGAAGAGGGGACGGGUGAGGAACACGUGGAGAACCUCCCUUAAGACUGGGAUAAGUUCGGGAAAACGGAGCUAAACCGGAUACUUAUAGUUGGCUCCGCGCUGCAUUGGCUAGUUGGUAGGGUAACGGCUUCCCAAGGCAACGAUGGAUAGCCGACCUGAUAGGGGGAUCGGCCACACUGGAACUGAGACACGGUCCAGACUCCUACGGGAGGCAGCAGUAGGGAAUCUUCCGCAAUGGGCGAAAGCCUGACGGAGCAACGCCGCGUGAGUGAUGAAGGUCUUCGGAUCGUAAAGCUCUGUUAGUAGGGAAGCGGUACCUAAUCAGAAAGCAACGGCUAACUACGUGCCAGCCGCCGCGGUAAUUC